UAAAAGUCGUAACAAGGUUUCCGUAGGUGAACCUGCGGAAGGAUCAUUAAAUAAUCAAUAAUUUUGGCUUGUCCAUUAUUAUCUAUUUACUGUGAACUGUAUUAUUACUUGACGCUUGAGGGAUGCUCCACUGCUAUAAGGAUAGGCGGUGGGGAUGUUAACCGAGUCAUAGUCAAGCUUAGGCUUGGUAUCCUAUUAUUAUUUACCAAAAGAAUUCAGAAUUAAUAUUGUAACAUAGACCUAAAAAAUCUAUAAAACAACUUUUAACAACGGAUCUCUUGGUUCUCGCAUCGAUGAAGAACGUAGCAAAGUGCGAUAACUAGUGUGAAUUGCAUAUUCAGUGAAUCAUCGAGUCUUUGAACGCAACUUGCGCUCAUUGGUAUUCCAAUGAGCACGCCUGUUUCAGUAUCAAAACAAACCCUCUAUCCAACAUUUUUGUUGAAUAGGAAUACUGAGAGUCUCUUGAUCUAUUCUGAUCUCGAACCUCUUGAAAUGUACAAAGGCCUGAUCUUGUUUGAAUGCCUGAACUUUUUUUUAAUAUAAAGAGAAGCUCUUGCGGUAAACUGUGCUGGGGCCUCCCAAAUAAUACUCUUUUUAAAUUUGAUCUGAAAUCAGGCGGGAUUACCCGCUGAACUUAAGCA
rnacentral:rRNA from 1 species